CCUACGGGAGGCAGCAGUGGGGGAUAUUGCACAAUGGGGGGAACCCUGAUGCAGCGACGCCGCGUGGGUGAAGAAGCGCCUCGGCGCGUAAAGCCCUGUCAGCAGGGAAGAAAAUGACGGUACCUGAAGAAGAAGCCCCGGCUAACUACGUGCCAGCAGCCGCGGUAAUACGUAGGGGGCAAGCGUUAUCCGGAUUUACUGGGUGGAAAGGGGGCGCAGACGGCGAUGCAAGUCAGAUGUGAAAACCAUGGGCUCAACCUGGGGCCUGCAUGUGAAACUGUUUUUCUUGAGGACUGGAGAGGCAGCCGGAAUUCCUAGUGUAGCGGUUAACUGCGUAGAUAUUAGGAG
rnacentral:rRNA from 1 species